GACGAACGCUGGCGGCGUGCUUAACACAUGCAAGUCGAACGAUGAAGCCGGAGCUUGCUCUGGUGAAUUAGUGGCGAACGGGUGAGUAACACGUGAGUAACCUGCCCUUGACUCUGGGAUAACUGCGGGAAACUGUAGCUAAUACCGGAUACGACCCUCGGAGGCAUCUCCUGGGGGUGGAAAGAAUUUCGGUCAAGGAUGGACUCGCGGCCUAUCAGCUAGUUGGUGGGGUAAAGGCUCACCAAGGCGACGACGGGUAGCCGGCCGGAGAGGGUGCCCGGCCACACGGGGACUGGGACACGGCCCAGACUCCUACGGGAGGCAGCAGUGGGGAAUAUUGCACCAUGGGCGCAAGCCUGAUGCAGCAACGCCGCGUGAGGGAUGACGGCCUUCGGGUUGUAAACCUCUUUUAGCAGGGAAGAAGCGAAAGUGACGGUACCUGCAGAAAAAGCACCGGCUAACUACGUGCCAGCCGCCGCAGUAA
rnacentral:rRNA from 1 species